rnacentral:rRNA from 1 species
GACGAACGCUGGCGGCGUGCUUAACACAUGCAAGUCGAACGGAAAGGCACUGAUUGUGUGGUGUUCUCGAGUGGCGAACGGGUGAGUAACACGUGAGUAACCUGCCCUUGACUUUGGGAUAACUUCAGGAAACUGAGGCUACUACAGUAUAGGAGCUCCUGUUGCGUGGUGGGGGUUGGAAAGUUUCGGCUGGUGGGGAUGGACUCGCGGCUUACCAGCUUGUUGGUGGGGGAGGGGCUGACCAAGGCUGUGAAGGGUAGCCGGCCUGGGAGGGUGGCCGGCGACAUUGGGACUGAGAGACGGCCCAGACGCCUAUGGGAGGCAGCAGUGGGGAGUAUUGCACAAUGGGCGGGAGUCUGAUGCAGAAACGCCGGGUUCGUGAUGACGGCCUUCGGGUUGUAAACCGCUUUCGCCUGUGACGAAGCGUGAGUGACGGUAAUGGGUAAAGAAGCACCGGCUAACUACGUG